AUACGGAGGGGGCUAGCGUUGUUCGGAAUUACUGGGCUUAAAGGGUGCGUAGGCGGCGCGGAAAGUUGGGUGUGAAAGCCCCGGGCUCAACCUGGGAACUGCAUUCGAUACUGGCAGGCUAGAGUAUAGUAGAGGCAAGUGGAAUUCCGGGUGUAGCGGUGAAAUGCGUAGAUAUCCGGAGGAACAUCAGUGGCGAAGGCGACUUGCUGGACUAAUACUGACGCUAAGGAGCGAAAGCGUGGGGAGCAAACGGGAUUAGAAACCCGAGUAGUCC
rnacentral:rRNA from 1 species